AGGGGUAUAGCUCAAGGGUAAUGCGCCUGCUUGGUGUGUAUGGGGUCCUGGGUUCAAUCCCCAGUGUCUCUG
rnacentral:tRNA from 1 species